UACAGAGGGUGCAAGCGUUAAUCGGAUUUACUGGGCGUAAAGCGUGCGCAGGCGGUUUUGUAAGCCAGAUGUGAAAUCCCCGGGCUUAACCUGGGAAUGGCAUUUGGGACUGCAAGGCUGGAGUGCGGCAGAGGAGACUGGAAUUCCUGGUGUAGCAGUGAAAUGCGUAGAUAUCAGGAGGAAUACCGAUGGCGAAGGCAGGUCUCUGGGCUGACACUGACGCUCAUGCACGAAAGCGUGGGGAGCAAACAGG
rnacentral:rRNA from 1 species